AUUGCCCUAGUAACGGCGAGUGAAGCGGCAACAGCUCAAAUUUGAAAUCUGGCUCUUUUAGAGUCCGAGUUGUAAUUUGCAGAGGGCGCUUUGGCGUUGGCAGCGGUCCAAGUUCUUUGGAACAGGACGUCACAGAGGGUGAGAAUCCCGUACGUGGUCGCUAGCCUUCGCCGUGUAAAGCCCCUUCGACGAGUCGAGUUGUUUGGGAAUGCAGCUCUAAAUGGGAGGUAAAUUUCUUCUAAAGCUAAAUACUGGCCAGAGACCGAUAGCGCACAAGUAGAGUGAUCGAAAGAUGAAAAGCACUUUGGAAAGAGAGUCAAAUAGCACGUGAAAUUGUUGAAAGGGAAGCGCUUGCAGCCAGACUUGCCUGUAGUUGCUUAUCCGGACUUUUGUCCGGUGCACUCUUCUGCGGGCAGGCCAGCAUCAGUUUAGGCGGUUGGAUAAAGGUCUCUAUCACGUACCUCCCUUCGGGGUUGGCCUUAUAGGGGAGACGACAUGCAACCAGCCUGAACUGAGGUCCGCGCAUCUGCUAGGAUGCUGGCGUAAUGGCUGUAAGCGGCCCGUCUUGAAACACGGACCAAGGAGUCUAACAUCUAUGCGAGUGUUUGGGUGUCAAGCCCAGACGCGUAAUGAAAGUGAACGGAGGUGGGAACCUUUUAGGUGCACCAUCGACCGAUCCUGAUGUCUUCGGAUGGAUUUGAGUAAGAGCAUGGCUGUUGGGACCCGAAAGAUGGUGAACUAUGCUUGAAUAGGGUGAAGCCAGAGGAAACUCUGGUGGAGGCUCGCAGCGGUUCUGACGUGCAAAUCGAUCGUCAAAUUUGGGCAUAGGGGCGAAAGACUAAUCGAACUAUCUAGUAGCU
rnacentral:rRNA from 1 species